rnacentral:tRNA from 1 species
GUCGGCAUAGCUCAGCUGUAUAGAGCAUCUGAUUCCUAAUCGGAAGGUCCUGGGUUAGAAUCCCAGUGCUGACACCA